rnacentral:rRNA from 1 species
UACGUAGGGGGCGAGCGUUGUCCGGAUUUAUUGGGCGUAAAGAGCGCGUAGGCGGUUUGGUAAGUUGGAUGUGAAAUCUCCAGGCUCAACUUGGAGGGGUCAUUCGAUACUGCCAUGACUAGAGUUCGGUAGGGGAGUGUGGAAUUCCUGGUGGAGCGGUGAAAUGCGCAGAUAUCAGGAAGAACACCAACGGCGAAGGCAGCUCGCUGGGACGGUACUGACGCUGAGACGCGAAAGCGUGGGGAGCGAACAGG